CACGAAUGUUCUUUGGGGUCGCCAGAGGGACAAAGUCCAACAAGGUUUACGAUGAAGGGGUGAUGAUAUUUAUCAACUUGUAUGCUUUGGCCUUUGUGCGAGCAUAAUCAGAAAAUGCUGCUCCAGAAAGCUGACAUUUUAUUCUUGUGUCCACGUUUGUUUGCUAGCAAAAGUCUCUCUUCCACCUACCUCAUGUUUAUCCGCCAGUUGAGCUGCGUCCUCCUCCAACAGCGUGCUGCCUGCAGGCACACCUUCAGGAGGAAGAGCGGCCUCUCCUCCACCUCAUCCCGCCGCCUCUGGUUCACCUGCACUCUUCCUCCAUGGUUGCAGGGAUCUCCUCCUUUGCUCCCCUCCUUCCUGGCUCCUGCACCUCGUCACGUUACCUCCAUUAGGACGAGUUGGCGCUUGUUUUCCACCUCUGCUGUCCUCUUGAUGGACCGUGGAGGCCGUGAGCCUCCGUACAAACGGAGGAGGAGUUCAGAGGAGGAAACAGUCCAAGAUGGGGAUACAAACAGAGGAGCACCACUGCCACCUGGGGGGCUGAAGUCAAACGAUAGAGGACCCAGGAGCUGUCAUCAACAUCAUCACAUGGAUGCAUGGCCGCAGUUGGACUCUCGCUUCGGGGAUGCAAGUGGACGUGGACAAGGUUGGAGUGGAGAAGGCAGCAAGAGCAAGUACGUGGAGAGGACUAUAAGUGAAAGUCGAGAUAAAGAUGGCGGCGGGCGUGCACAGCCUCAAAACGCAUGGUCCAAAGCUGACAUGAGACCACACAGGGCGAGUGCAGACGAGCGACGUUCUCAUGGUUGGAAUGGAAGAGUGGCAGAGGAGCUUAUGAGAGGCUGGAGGGGCGAUGGAGCCUGGCCUCAGCUUGGCACCUCCUCAAAGCUACAGGAAGCAGAGGAGGAGCCUCCUCCACCAGGGACUGAGUCCGCUGUCAAACGAGCUCCACUGGAAGUCCUCCACAGACGAUGGGAGCCAUCACCAGCCUGCGGUACCAAGCCGGCACCACCAGAAGGCUGCAGAGUGCUUGACUUCUCAGUGAUGUCCUACAACAUCCUGUCCCAAGAUCUGCUGCAGGACAACCUCUACCUGUACCAGCACUGUCCCCCUCAGGUCCUGGCCUGGACGCACCGCCUGCCCAACCUACUGGCCGAGAUCCAGAAGUACGACGCUGAUGUGCUGUGCCUUCAAGAGGUGCAGGAGGACCACUUUGAAAACCAGAUCAGACCUGCUCUAGAAGCUCGAGGCUACCAUUGUGAGUACAAGAAGCGAACUGGGCAGAAACCCGACGGUUGUGCCAUUGUCUUCAAAACCUCGCGCCUGUCUCUCCUCUCCUCCAACCCCGUCGAGUUCUUCCGGCCUGGCGACACCCUCCUGGACCGCGACAAUGUGGGACUGGUGCUCCUGCUGCGGCCCAACCACGCCACGGGACCCUCUGACUCGUCCAACGUCCUCUGCGUGGCCAACACGCACCUCCUGUACAACCCCCGUCGAGGAGACGUCAAGCUGGCCCAGCUGGCCAUCCUAUUGGCCGAGAUCGGCCGCUUGUCCCGCCUCCCGGACGGCUCCAGCCAUCCAGUGGUCCUGUGUGGGGAUUUUAACUGCACCCCAUGGAGUCCGCUUUUCAGCUUCCUGACCCGCGGCUGCCUGGAGUACCGAGGACUUCCCAUCAGCACGGUGUCAGGUCAGGAGUAUUCGAGGGGUCAGCGUCUGCUGGAGACCCCCAUCUGGUCUCCCAGUUUAGGAAUCAACCAGCAGUGCCAGUACGAGAGCGCCACAGAGUCGUUGUCCUCCUGCGCCACAGUGGAGCAACAAAUCUCUCAUCUGACUGUUGAAGAUGUGGCCAACAGAGCUGCCGCUCAUGCUUCGAAAAGGUGGAGGAUCGAGCACGGCUUGAACCUUCGCUCGUCCUAUCCGCCUCGCCUGAUGCCUGACGGGAGACCCGCCAUCACCACCUGUCACUCGCGCACCGCCAUGAUGGUGGACUACAUCCUGUACACGCCUGACUCACUUCCGGGUGGGCGGGGCCUCCAGCUGCUGGGCAGGCUGUCUUUGGUCGGCCAGCCGGAGCUGCAGGAGGUCGGCGGCCUGCCCAAUCAGCAGCACUCCUCGGACCACCUUCCUCUGCUGGUGCGCUUCCGCUGGGUUGUCACGGCGACAGAAGACGGCCGAUCAUGACGUCAAACAAAACAAGGACCCCUCUCAAGGAUUGCUGUUUCGUUGGAUAAAGAGUGAAAUGAAGACAAGAACAUGAAUACACAAUCAAGUCUUUUUCGAAAUAAAACAUUCAACACUUCAAAAACACCAACAUUCGGCUUUCCCUGCCACUUCAGUCAUGAGAAACUCAUGAAAAUGCGCCCUCGAGUUUGUUCUCAGGCUCCGCUUCCUCUGUUCUGGAAGACUUGGACGUGUGCAUAGCGCCUCCUUGUGGAAAGUCACAAACAUUCAGUCCAGUAUGACGACAACAAAAUGAAAACAACACCUUGAGUAACAGUUCAACACCUGGGGUCUCCAACAGCAGUACAGUACACGUACACCAGUGCUGUGGCAGCUCACCACAAAUACAUUUGGACUGCUACAAAUAUAUUUGUGUAAGAAUAAGAAGAUGUAGCACAGGGGUGUCCAAACUUUUUCCAGCGAGGGCCACAUCGUGAAAUAUCAAAGGAUGCAACUUUUGCCACUUAUGCUGAGAAUAUAAGAGUUAAAAAAAAACUGCAUCCCAGGCUUUGUGAUACAGGUGGAAAAGCCUUUUAUUAGGAUCAACCGCCUCCUGCCCGAAGUCAGCUGGGAUAGACUCCAGCAAAUUGCGACUUUUCUUCUUAAGAGUAUGACUUUUCUCUUAAUAUUUUGACUUCAUUCUUGUAAAAGCACAGCUGAUUUUUUCCAUUUCUGCUGUUUUUCUUGUAAAUUUUCUUCUUGUAAUUGACUUUCACAAAAUAUUUGCUUUUUUUUUUACUUGUCGUAUUAUAACUUUUUUCGCAACCUAAUUUUACAAAAAUUUCAACUUUAUUCAUUGUUGUUUGUUUCUCAUAAUAACCUUUUUUAAAUAUAUAUAAUAGCCUCUUUUUUCUUUGAUGUUUCAACUUUCUCCUACUGACGAUAUUCUUGUAAAAACGUCCUCUUGUUAGAUUACACCUUUUUUCUCUUAAUAUUUUGGCUUUAUUUUUUGUGACUGCUGAUUUUUCCAGUUAAAUUUGAUUUUUUAGAAUGUGACGUGGGCCAAUAAAAAAAUAGCCACUGCUGCAAAUGGCGCCCAGGCCGCACUGUGGACACCCCUGAUGUAGCAAGAGAGAUACAUGUUGCCAACUAAACAACUCUGUCUAUAGUUAGUGUGUAAUCAGAGCCGUCUGGGUACUUUUUCAAAACAGUAACUGGCAUUUUGCGUCUAGUGAGGAGACUUCUGCUGACAUGAAAGCACGUAUUGAUGAGCAGUGGGUGUUGCGACAUUGAGACAUUGAAAAAAAAAAAAAAAACCCCGACAAGAAGCGACUGAAGAAAGUUAGUUUUGCUUUUCGUGUUUUUUACUCACUUUUCGCAAAGGUCAUUACGUCACCGCCACAUAUAGAUUGGAGUCCUGUGGAUGCGCAUGUACAUGUAUACACGUGUGAUGGGCCGUGCUAAAAGAACGCAAGUUCAUGACUGGCUGGUCUCAAAUCAGCACCACUUCCUGUCUUCAUGGAGAGAAACUCUGACAUCCAUCAAGACGAGGCUUCAUUUCUGACCUUGCAGAUGUUGGAAGGAGACUUCUCCACUGAUUGAUGUUGUUGAUAAUCUUCUCCAGUUCUCCUCCUGGGAGUAAACAUGACUGAAGCAACGUCAUGCAAAGAAGACAGACAGCACUAAUGGAUGGAAGAGAUCUCCAAAGACAGGAACACUCCGUCGCAUCUCUCAAGCCUUGUUGAGAUGAUUGGUCCAUUUAGAGGACGAGUCCAGGAUGAUCUGCUACAAAAUUGAUGGACGUCUCGUCUUUGGCCGGGAAGGUGACGGGGGGUGGGGUCAAAUUCGUAUCUGGUAGCCGUCGUUGAGUGUGCUGAGUUCCGGAGGUUUCUUCUCCACCGACGCCGGCCUGACGGAGUACAGAACAACGGAGAUGUUAUUUUGGAUUUUCCUCAACAACUGCAAGAACUUCACAUCACACACUCUGACCAUCAAGUUCCUGAUUCUCUACGUUCUGAUUUGAAAUAUGUGUUAAAACGUUACGUUUUAACACAUUAGGUGUAUUUGCACAUAGUAUCAGAUCGGUACGGCCGAUACCAGCCUGAAUUUUACCCAAUAUCUGAUUGGGAAUUAAAUCAGUGGUAUCGCUCAUCACUAGAGCACACACACUGCAUUAAUCCUUGUGUAAACACACGGAAAUGCGUGUGAGGUCGCGCUUUUGCGCAUGCAGGUCACUUUCUGGACGCUUUUCGUCGCAUUUUUUUGGUAAUGUGAACAUUAAAAAAUUGGCUUUAGACAAAAAAUCCGAACUGGGCAUCAUACCCUGCAGUGUGAACACAGCCUUACAGCGUAGUACGGUAUUCUUUGACUUCUAGAAACACUGCAGGAGUCAUGUGACCCGGCACCAUCACACACACACAAAGUGAUGUGAUGUGAGGUGGCAAAGGUCGGGGCGGUGCCACGUCGACAUUAAUUUUCCUGCGUGCCGACUUGGCGACUCGCAGCUGUCGUCCAAGUCAGCUCGUGUUUCAUCCCGACGCACAGCUGACAGUGCUUAGGCACGCUCCGUGUGUGUUUGUGUGCGCCUGUGUGUUCACGUGUGGCAGCUAGAAUCAGAGACACACACGCAGAUUGACACAUGUGAUGAUAAGUGUCAGCCGAGCACCAGCACCUCAUGAACAAAUGUUAACUUGUGUGUGUGUGUGUGUGUGUCGUCGUACUGCCAGGACAAUGCAGUCCUCAGGAUGCUAAAGCGCACGUGAAAGCAAUGUGUCAGGGAGGACAGACAGCUUGUGACAGCGAGACCACUUACGAUUUGUCUCUGCGGUGCGGCAGGCGGUGCUGCGGGCUGCCCUGGCGGCGUCGUGGCGACAGAGACUUCCCGCGGCUCCGCUCCUUGAUUGGAGACUGAGCGCUGGAGGACUUGAGGAUCUGAUGAAAGAAGAGCAAGACUAAAUUGGUAAUAUUGAGGUGACGUACAGUAGGUAUCGCGUAAACACACUGACAUCGCCAACAACCACUGUCGCCAUGAUGGCUACAACCACAGACAAGUAAUACUAAUAGUGUGUGUGUGUGUGCGUGUGUGUGUUGAGUUUAGGAGUCAGUAGGAGAAGAAAAGUGUCAACUCAGCACACAUGGUGAUGACUUUUCCUGGCUUACAUUGAACAGCUGCUCCCAGCUGUUCAUCAUGUGAUUGCUAAUAAGUGGGUCACUGUGUGUGUGUGUGUGUGUGUGUGUGUGUGUGUGUGUCCUGUGUCUUGUACUACCCUUUAUCCAACUUUACUAAACAGCAAACUUACAUCUACACACAUAAUGCCAUGCUAUUAUCCCUGAUGCUAACCCAAGGCGAGUGCCAUUCGCAUAGCGCUAAUGUGAUGCAGUGCGAGUGUCGUAUUGUCGUAUACAUUAGCUGCUAAACCUUGCAGAACACAAACACACAACACCAAAGUCUAUUUAUAAAAAAAAAGUCAUUCUUUGGGAUUCAGAUGAGAUUACAACAAAGCUUCGCACAGCUGACAGCGUGUGUGUUGUGACGAAUGACUGACCUACAUAGCAUGCAGCCUAGUUCAAGUACUGCUACCUGACACUGCACACUUCUACUCAUCUUGUGUUUAUUUCUGUAACCAACUUUGCUUGACAACACACUAUUUAUUAUGGAAUAUAUAUAUGAAUAUAAUGUGAAUGUAUGACGAUUAUUUAUUGCACCAUGAACUUGUUUCGUGCACGUACCUUCAUCCGCAUGUCGCGGCCAUGUUUCUCCAGCUCCCUCUUCAUCUCCUGAGGGCCCAGCUUGGCUGCGUUCAGCACCAAAUACUUCCACUCGAUGGACUGGCACACGUGGGGGUCGUGAGGCACGUACAGGCCGAUCUUCACCUGGGGGUCGUGUGGCAGCUCAACUUUAUUCGUACGUCGUCCAAAGACAACACGAGGUGUCAUGUGUUAGUGUGGUGUCGGUGUGGCGUGGCACUACUGUACCUUCUUGAGGCUGUGCUGGUAUCGCUUGUAGGAGCUCUCAAACUCGGCCACCAGCUCCCCGAGUGUUCGGUGGCUGAGCGUCUUGUCCAUGAGGUCUGGUCGGCGGCUCAUGCCCAGAGAUCCGUAGCGGCCGUUGCAGUAGACACCGAGCACCACGUGGUGGAAACAGUGGCCCGAGAACUGAGUCUUGAAGCUAAUGGGGAACCUCUCCAGAGAUGUCAGGCCGUUGGUCAGGUAGCUGCAAGGUGCAUGUGAGGAAACUUCUUGUUCUACGUGGAUUUAGCCAGGAGCUCUAACAACAAAUUAAAAGCAAUGUGAUGGCCUUGUGUGUGUGUGUUUGUAUUCUAUGAAUUUUUUUCAUGUGAUGUCAGGCCCAUUAUGUCAAAAUGAAAACAAAACUGCUAAAAAAGGAAACCAAACAAGGCCAGAUAAACUGUUAGUACAUAAAAGUGUUAUAGCCUACUUUGGACUAGUGAUGCGAGAUUACUCGAUUCCUUUGACUGACUCGCACAUGCGAUUAAGUAAAAAAAAAAAAAAAAUGCGAGUUUUGAAGGAAAGUUCGU